GGCUCUGGUUUACACAUAAAGUAUAACCGGAGAAAUAAACCUCAAAAUCCUAGAAUUUCUGAAGUAGCAACACAGCUUUCAAUUCAAGUCACACAUCAUUUCUGACACAAAAAUAACAGCAGCUGAGUACGUGAGAGGCCUUUCCCUCCAGAAGUGUAGGCUCUGAUCCCACAAUGUCGUCAUUCGUAUUCCAGUCCAGAAGGACACAGACCUUCUCCCAGCACUUUCAGCUAGAUCUCCUGGCUUCUUUUCUGGUUCUAAACUUACCCCAUAUGGAAAGCAGAAUGGUGGUCCCUGAAAGAUGUCUGCAUUCUAGUCCGCUCAACCUGUGACUACAUCAGGUUAUAUGGAAAAGGGAGAGUCAAGGUUGCCAGUCAGCUGACCUUGAAAUAGGGAGCUUUUUCUGGAGGAUUGGGUAGGCUCAGUGUCCUUAAAGUGUCCUUAAAAGUGGACGUAGGUAGGUACCAGCAGCUCUGGUACCCACCUACGGACCACGGAAGCAGGAUCAAAGGGAAGCUAUCAUGCUGGGUUUGAAGAUGGAGGAAGAGGACAGCAAACCAAGAAAUGUCAGUGACCUCUAGAAGUUGGGAAAAAAAAGAAAAGAUUCUCCCUAGGGCUUCCGGAAAAGAAUGCAUAACUGUUGGUGACCCCUUAUGUCAGACCAGAGAGAUUUCCAGUCUACAGACUCUAGAACUGUAAGACAGUAAAUCUGUGUUGUUUUAAGCCACUGAAUUUGUCCUAAUUUAUUACAGCAGCAACAGGAAACUAAUAUGUGCUAUCCGGAAGCAGAGACAGCCUCACUCAGGAACAACACUGCAACUCCAAGACAGAAGAGUGUCUGGGUUUCUUCGGCAAUAAAAGAACUCAGCUCUCAGGAGUCCAACCAAGCCACACAGGGAAGUCACAUGCUGAAGAACCACCCCAUCUAAGCCUGCAUUUUACAGCUGGAACCACUGAGGUUAUGUGGAUAAGUCAUCUUGGGAGUGGACUCCCCAGUCCCAGAAAUUCCAUUAAAAGUGACAAUAAGGGAUACAAAAGCAUACAUCAAAGAAGUAAGGGAAUGAGAGAGGAAGUAACAGUAGACAAGAGCAAGCUGACACCCAAACCUUCAAGGGAAUAACUCAACAUAAAACACGCAGAGCCAGGGAAACUCAGGAAAUGAGGCUCCCGACCCUUCUGAAGGUAGAAAUGCAGAGUGAGUUGAAUGCAUGAUGCCUGACUGAACUUGAUUUUAAAAUGGUAUAGCACAAAGGUCCCUGGCCUUCAGGCCACAAACCAGUACCAGUCCUUGGCUUGUUAGGAACCGGGCCACAUAGCAGGAAGUGAGCCAUGGUUGAGUGAGGGAAUCUUCAUCUGUAUUUACAGCCGCUCCCCAUUGCUCGAAUUACUGCCUGAGCUCCGCCUCCUGUCAGAUCAGCAUCAGCAUAAGAUUCUCAUAAGAGUAUGAACCCUAUUGUGAACUGCGCGUGGUGAGGGAUCUAGGUUGCAUGCUCCUUAAGAGAAUCCCAUGCCUGAUGAUCUGUCACUGUCACUCAUCACCUCCAGAUGGGACUGACUAGGUGCAGGAAAACAAGCUCAGGGCUUCCACUGAUUCUACAUUAUGGUGAGUUGUAUAAUUA